rnacentral:lncRNA from 1 species
AUGGCACAAGGAACGGGAAAAAUGUCUGAAUGCCCAAAAACAGGAUUAUAUCAUCACAGUGAGGUUUCCAGUGUCUCUUGGUUCAAUAUCUGCCUGCAGGAGACAUUAUUACCAGGAAAGCCGUGGUAUAAGGUCUUAGAGAAACUGGAACCAGCCUUAGCGGAGAAAGUGAAGCAACAGAUAAGGGAUUCUAAGCAAAAAGAAACUGCCUUCCGUCUCCUUGGCCAGAACUUUGUUAAAAGAUACUUCCGCGAUUCUCCUCUGCAGCCUCAUUUGCUUGGACCCUUCACCCAGUCUUCCCCGGAGGUGAGUGAGAUUAGCAAUGAGAAUGUAGAAGUCACAAGAGGUUGGCUACAGACUCAAUGUCUCGAAGCAGCAGCAAGCAUUCACUACACCUACCAGCCUGGAGAUGAUACUGACGUAGCUGAACUCGCUCCUGAAAUGGUCCGUUUCCUUGACGAUAUCUAUGAGACUGUAACAGCCGAGAUGGAGGUACUGCUGGCCACCUGUGAAGCCCAGCGCCAGGAACAAGAUACACAGGCCAGUGAAAUGGCCCAGCUGUCCCCGAGAGAGGACCUGAAGCAAAUUCCAUUCACGUCACAGAGGCCCAAAUCCAUCGAGAGCAGAGACAUCCGCUUCGCUUUGUCCAGCCGACCGUCUUCCCUGGGCAGUGGAAAUGAAAAAGGCUUCCNGUUUCAUAUCAGACCUGAGUUGCUCCCGCCCGUCCUCAGCUGCCCGGAGAGCGACUUGCUGGGAGAGGCCCUCUGUGCCAUCGCCUCGCAGAGUUCUGAGACGAUGUCGACGGUGUGUGAAAGGCUGGGCAGCAAGCUGCUCCCAAAGACCCUUCGNCCAUUUAUCUGGCUCCAUAAACUCUUGAGGGUGGGCUCUGAAGACCCCAGGAAUAACUCCCUCAGGUCUGCCGAACGGAAAGCCAGGGAGGAGUUUGGGAGAACCGUAGCGNGCCGGGUGGCUGAACUUAAGCUCCGCAGUGCCNCUCGGUCGCCCCUUUCAGGCCUGAUUGAAAAGGCGGUGGUGCAGGAGAACACCCCUAUGAGCUAG